rnacentral:rRNA from 1 species
CGUGUACGUACAAGCAGUGGGAGCCUCUUAAUGGGGUGACUGCGUACCUUUUGUAUAAUGGGUCAGCGACUUAUAUUCUGUAGCAAGGUUAACCGAAUAGGGGAGCCGAAGGGAAACCGAGUCUUAACUGGGCGUUAAGUUGCAGGGUAUAGACCCGAAACCCGGUGAUCUAGCCAUGGGCAGGUUGAAGGUUGGGUAACACUAACUGGAGGACCGAACCGACUAAUGUUGAAAAAUUAGCGGAUGACUUGUGGCUGGGGGUGAAAGGCCAAUCAAACCGGGAGAUAGCUGGUUCUCCCCGAAAGCUAUUUAGGUAGCGCCUCGUGAAUUCAUCUCCGGGGGUAGAGCACUGUUUCGGCAAGGGGGUCAUCCCGACUUACCAACCCGAUGCAAACUGCGAAUACCGGAGAAUGUUAUCACGGGAGACACACGGCGGGUGCUAACGUCCGUCGUGAAGAGGGAAACAACCCAGACCGCCAGCUAAGGUCCCAAAGUCAUGGUUAAGUGGGAAACGAUGUGGGAAGGCCCAGACAGCCAGGAUGUUGGCUUAGAAGCAGCCAUCAUUUAAAGAAAGCGUAAUAGCUCACUGGUCGAGUCGGCCUGCGCGGAAGAUGUAACGGGGCUAAACCAUG